CUUAUGACAUUAUACUUAGUUUUGCAACAAACCAAAAUACUCUCUCAACUACCUCAUAAGAAGUGAUAUACUCGGAUUCUAAAUUUGCAAUGAUCGAUUGUUUGAAACUCUUCUAAUUUACCGAAUCCCAUUGUAUAAGGAAAUACAUCCUAAUGUAGACUCUCCACCACAACAUUAGAUAUAAUGUCUGAAUUAUGAAUCCUUUUAUCCUCAAUUUUUUUUCUCCUUCCAA
rnacentral:lncRNA from 1 species